CAAGCUGUUCGCUCCCCUUCCCCACGUAGAUGCGGCGCCGCAUGGUUCCCCUUCCCCUGCGCUGCUUCCCCUCCACCCGCUCAACUCCCUCCCUCCCUCCCUCACUCCCUCCCCGUGCGUCGGUUCCCUUACCUGGCCAGCAGUACACCAGGGAGCUCCUCACUCCCAUAGGCUGUGGCUCCCUGAUGUCCCUGUCAUAUGUUAAACGGAAUGGCUGAAUGAUGAUCAUAUUAUAAGGAUGGAUCUUUCUAUAUCCUUCAACCCUGUUGUUGUCAUCAAAUGGUGGCUUUUUCAUGUUAAGAGCGAAUUCAAGGUGGACUGGUGUUUUUUCAUAAUUCGUAAGAGCUGGUAAUUAUCACCUCAAAUUUGUUCAUUUUUAUGUUGGUUUCUUAAUCGUAUUGAAAUAGUUAAAUUUUACUUAUACCUUCACACUAUCAUCUUUGAGUCACUUUGUCUCAUGUGGCCAUGACCUUUGAUUAUAGAAGGUCACCAACGGUCAAUGGUGGCCUGAUUGAGUUUGCAGUUUUAUGUAUAUGUAUAUAUCACCAACAAAAAUGUCGUUACAAUGAAACAGAUGGAUGGUUGGUUCA